rnacentral:pre_miRNA from 1 species
ACAUAGGUCAAUCUGUCUUUAGGUAGGGAUAAAUUACUCUAAAAAAAGGAAUCCUAGUUAGCUUUCCCUUCAAGUCAAACAUCUUGU